UACGAAGGGGGCUAGCGUUGCUCGGAAUCACUGGGCGUAAAGCGCACGUAGGCGGGUCUUUAAGUCAGGGGUGAAAUCCCGGAGCUCAACUCCGGAACUGCCUUUGAUACUGAGGAUCUUGAGUUCGAGAGAGGUGAGUGGAACUGCGAGUGUAGAGGUGAAAUUCGUAGAUAUUCGCAAGAACACCAGUGGCGAAGGCGACUUUCUGGCUUAUAACUGACGCUGAGGCGCGAAAGCGUGGGGAGCAAACAGG
rnacentral:rRNA from 1 species